AAAUAUUUGGUUCUGGUAUAAUGUCAGCCUAGAGUUACCUAAAAUACACAAUGUAGAACAGAUUCGUAAUGUGCUAGUUAAAACAGAAGAGAUAAGCUAAUAAAAACUCCUAAAAGGAGCAUAAAGGCAGUGUGGGCAUAAGUUUAAGACGAUAACGCUAAAAAAAUCACAACUCAAGUGGAUAGUCCUGGAAUCAAUGAGUUUAUGCUCGAAACGAACGGAAAACUAAUAAAUGUAAGCCAAAGGGGGUGCCAGCAGCUGCGGUCAGUCCCCUUUAAACAGGCUGAUAGAGGUGUAGCCUAGAGGUGGUUAAUCAAUUUUUAAUAGUAAGACAUACAUCAAGUUUAAGGAGGUGAAAUUCCGUAAAACUUGGAGGAGGCCCAAAGCUUACGCAAAGAUGAGGCCAUAAAGUUAUGGGUAUAGACACGGAUUAGAUACCCGAUUAUUCCAUAAUGUCACGUACGGUUAUUUUUCAUAGAAGUAAUUUGCUAGGAGUAUUACGAGCAGCUGCUUAAAACUCGAAGAACUUGGCGGUUCCACAAAACCAUCCAGAGGCUCUUGGCGCUUAAACCGAUGAUCCGCGUGAUAUCUUACCCACUCUAUAUGGUAAUGUACUGCCGUCGAAAGCUUAUGAUGUGAGUGUAUAAAAAUAGGCUUCAUCUUAGGCAUAGAUUAGAUCUAUGUGCUAAGACUAGGUCAGGUCGAAGUGUUCUUUAUGAGUGAGGGGUUAGCUGAGAGACAAUUUUUAAGAUAUAACAAGCUUUAAAAUGAAAUUUUUAUAGUGAGGCGGAUUUGGGAGUAAAGGGAGAUUAACUCACUCUUUUGAAUAGACGCAACUGUGGUGCGUACAAAUCGCCCGUCACCCUAGCUGAAAGGAGAGGUAAGUCGUAACAUGGUAAGGGUAGGGGAACCUGUUCUUAUAAU
rnacentral:ncRNA from 1 species